AACUAAAGGGAUAUUCUCGUCAUACUGUACUCUCGAUGACGUGCAUGUCGGGUCAUCGACAUGCAUGUUCAAUACCAUUAGUGCACAUGCUGCACCAGACUAUAUUUACGGACGUUGACUGUUUGCUUUAGGCACUGUUUCAAGCAUUGUACGAUGGCCGAUAACAAAAGUAUUUGUUAACGUUUUCAAGUUCCAUUCGGAGUAUCCGAAACUACGACGCAAUGUUAGUCGGAACUAACGUAUCUAGUUAAUCAGGUUAUCGCAUGAUGUUCUUGCUCAUUGGCAAACAUUAUUUCAGCAGUCGAUACGUCCUCCAAACUUCAGUAACUGUUUCUAUAGUCCCCGUUCGUCACAAACAACCGUUGACAUUUCGUCAACCUUAAAUUCGAAUAUAUUAACCGUUUAGACGCACGAGAAUAUCCCUUUAUCCAAACUAGCUAGUGUGUCUACUGUUUUCUUACUAGGCAAACAAAAGUUUGUCACAGCAUGUGCGCAGUUCACUUUACCUAUGUGCAUUUAUACUAAAAGCCAUUCGUCCACAAGCAAUGCAUUUGCGCUAUUGACGCAAGCUUUCAUGAAGGCCAAACCAAUGCUGAUUCGUCAAUGCUGAUCGUCAGCUUGAAAGUAAAGAUGAGCAAAGUGGUUCAACUGAAUCUUAUGGUUGCAGUAGGGCAUAUUAGACGUAAGUGACAAGUAUGUGUCAGCAAUUGCUUAUGCUUCUUAACCCUAGAAAAUUUUUAUUCAAUCCUUUUGGUGAUGACGUAAUGUGACAGAAAACAGUAGACACACUUAACCUCAUCGGGAACCCUGAAUGUAUGGAAUUUUUGAGCAUAGGUGCCUGUGAGUGUGUAAGGGUGGAUGUGGGUGUGUGAGUAUGUAUGUGCGUAUGUGAGGGUGUGCGUAUGUGUCAUCUUACACGUAAUUUAGUGAAUGAGUGCAUAGGUACUAGCUUCCAAGUAAAUACGUGGAUGAGUGCGUGUAGUCAGUGGUGUAUGGAACUCGCAUUGUGCCUGCCUGCUGCCAACGAAAUAUGCAAGCCCACACAGAGAAAACAGUUUUGUUGUGCGAAACUUCAUGCUGCUGGCAGGAUUUACAUGCAAGUCACAUAUUGCAGGUCUACCAUAAGCAGAGCGAUGUGUCAUCUGAUAGGUAACUCACAACAACACAUACUCUGCAUGUCCAGGGAAAGUGAGUUGUGCUCGGAACAGAUUGGCCAGACAGUUUUGUCCUAUCAAAUUCAGAAUUGUUUCAUCCUCCUCACAGUUGCCAUUAACAUCAGGAGCACACAUUAUUGCUAGAUCUGAAUGCCAGCUACCUAUUGCACUGCUGGCACGUAGUUGGAGACAAAGGUGCCGCCAGUUUUCCAGCUCGCUGUUGAUACAAUGCAAUACUGGUACAAAAUGUCCGUAUUCUGUGUUUUUAGUGUUGUAUGUUUGUAUAUGAGUCUUGCGUCGUAUGAACAUUACGUACAUGAGUUUAAAGUGUUCCCGCGAAAGUAGGUACUGAAUUAGCUCACGCCAGGAUUGCGUUGCGGAGAUAUUUGUAGCCCAUACAAUGUUUUAUGGCGUCAUUUACGACACUUUCUGUUUUUCUUGUCAUUGUAUGCACGUGAGUAGUGCCGCAUGUUGCGCUUGCAAAUCAUGUUCUCAAUGCCAUUUUCUUUUGGUACAAUUGGUCACCACUACAUAUCACUCGCAUACACACGCCCAAGCAAGUCCGAUAUCAAUCACUGUCCAGAAGUGCAUGAUGCAUUCAACCACGCAUAGAACACUGGCACACCAAGAACAUGAACUCACGCAAAAACGAGAGGACUAUUACACGACUUCGCAUUGGACACACCGCUAUCACACACAACUACAUCAUCACAAGAAGCCCGAGACCGAAAUGCAACACCUGCAACACUUUCAUCACUGUCAAACAUCUGCUACUCACAUGCCCACAAUACCAACACCACAGGACAAACAUACAAACAUACUGCAGAGACGCCAACAUCCCACUAACACUCACAACACUGCUCGGGGACUUACACCCCGAGCUAACAACACUACUCAUCCACUACAUACACAACACUGGGCUGAUAAAUGACCUGUAAAUCUCCUCCCCUAGAGCCAAGGACAAAAAAGCCAAAAAAAGCCAAAAAAGAAGCCAAAAAGAAAAAAAACAUUCAAAACAAUGAGAAUCAAAAUAAAAGACCCCAGAAUGGCAAAAUGGCAAAAAAAAAACAAAAAAAAACAAACAAAAAAUAAUAAUAGAAGGGGCAAUCCGGCUACCCGGGAGGAGAUAGCUAGGAACCCUGACCCACCCCUCAGCCCACCCUUACGAGCCAAGAAGACGACGGACACUUCAAGACAAUGGACGGACCAACAACGAAGACGGACGACAGAACCGGGCCCAAAUACAGAACGCUGUGGUGGCCCGUAAGCCACAAAUACCAUACCAUACCAUACCAGUGCAUCAUGCAGCAGAAGAAGCUUCAUUGAACACACUCGUCAUCAUGAACGGCAUCUUAGGAGCUUCAUGAGUUUGGAUCUGUGAACAGUAAGUGGAAUGGGAGCAUAAUGGUACACGCUACCAAACCAGAUUUUUUAUAAACAAAAACAUAACGUUUAUUACCGUUUGGAGGUGAUUUGUUUUAUUUGGUCAUUGUGUCAAUGUCAUGUUUGAUCAUAUAGGUAACGAAAAGCGUACCUAUUCAAAACGUUUAUUCUUUGUCAUGAUGUGCCUGCAGGUUGUUUUCGCAGUAUCCAAUAGCAACCGUGUAUGACCAGGCGCCCCUUGGACGCCUUGUCUAGCCCCGUCUUCCGGGACUGUGUGAUGACUGCCUUUGCAAUCUCAAGUGCCAGUUUCUGCCUCCGGCCUAUUUCUUUAUCAAAGGAUGUUGGUAACUGAACGACCAGCUCUGCUCCAAGAUUCCAAAUCGUUUUACGGUAUUUUAUGCCUACAAAACGUUAAUAUUUGCUGGACGCGUUGAUGCCCGAAUAGGAUGACCUUUAUUCCUAGAUACAGGCAUUCAACGUUGAAUCAAUUACGCUUCUAGCCUUCUGUUUAUUGGCUUUACAUACUUUUUAUUAAUAUUUAUCAUGUGUCUAGCCUGCAAUUCAUUUUACUCACCACCAUCGGACGUUACAACUAUAAGCUUAUAACUACUAUAUACAACUAUAAGCUAUAAGCAGCUAUUCGCUGACUUGACAUAUGAUAUUUUCGCGACGACUCGUUUCGCCCUUCCGCCAUGUUAACUAAUCAUCCGUUACAUCUUUAUGUCAACAGGUAUAGUACAAGUCAUCCUUACCGUCGAUACCGUAGAAGAAUUUGCCGUCGACCACGGAAAACAUAUUGUGCUUCCCGUUGCUGGUAAUUUUGUAUUUGUCACUUAGGUGACAGUUACUAUAGUUCGUUUUCUUUUUAAAGUUCGGCCCUGACUGUAAACAUCUUUUUGAACACAGCACGAGAAUUACUGAGAAAAUUGGUUAGCGCCCAUUGAUACCGUUGUGUUAAACGCGGUGCGAUUUAUUAAUUAGUUCAGUUAUUACUCCUGACAAAUCGUCUAUCCCUGUGGGGUUGUAAAUAUGAGCAAAUACGAGCUGAGGGGUCUGGGAAAUAGGAGCCAGAAAGAAAUAACUUUGAUAAAGUUUUUCAUCAGUGAAAUUCAACGUGCGACAACCAUUUUCCUCUUCUUAGUAAUUCAGCUAGCAAUUCUCGUGCUGUGUUCGAAGAGACGUUUACAGUGAGGGUCGAACUUAGGACGAACUAUGGCACCUAUCAGCAGAUAUACGUUCAUAAUGCAACAAGGGAACGAAAAGCGUGUUCAAAACUUAAACUCAUUGUCCUUAUGUGCCUGCAGGUUGUUUUCGCAGUAUCCAAUGGCAACCGUGUAUGACCAAGCGCCGCUUGGACGCCUGGACGCCUCGCCCAGCCACGUCUUCCGGGACUGUGUGAUGACUGCCUCUGCACUCACAAGUGCCAGUUUCUGCCUCCGGCUUAUUUCUUUAUCAAAGGAUGUUGGUAACUGAACGACCAGCUCUGCUCCAGGAUUCCAAAUCGUUUUACGGUACCUUGUCCAUCACCAUCAAGAGAUCAACAUUUUUGCAGGCACUUACGUACGGCUGUAGUGUCCGGCGCGAUGCUGAAUGCGACCUGUUAUCUGUUGGAUCUACUCUGUGAGCCCAGACCCCAGUGCAAUGGCACUGUUCAACUACAGCGCUGGACGUCGUCUACUUUUUGCUAGAAACAAAUGUCAUCACCCGUCCAUGAACUUCGGGCUGCUCACAACUAUAUUGCCUUGGCAAGUUCUUUAAGACUUAAUACUGGACUUGGGCUGCGAAAGCUAAUGACAAUUUGGGCAGCUUGAUAUUGCAAUGGCUAUGGUGCGAAGGUCCAAUAUGGCGAACAGCUCGACUAUUCACCAUUGUCAACGCUUAUGAUAGCUAAAUAUCAUUUUGCUUGGUGUACAUUCACGUCUCGUUUCCUUGCUCCAUUUGUACCUCACCGGUCUUCCGUCACACAGGCUUCGGCUGCAGCACAAGCCACAUUCAUCGGCCUUAUCAUCAGUUAUUCAUCCUGCAAGUUUUAAGUCACUUCGUUGUGACCCGGACAUCGUCAUCUUUCAACGACUUCAAAUGACAUUUCAUUCAUCAUCGUCGAUCAGACUCAUCAUGUAAAGACACUUCCAUAAUGCUAUCUGCCAUCUACGUUUGUGCAGGAAGCAAAUAUCAGGUUGUUAUUAGCUGCGGGCUACUCAGUACCGACUGAACUACUGGCAGUAGUGUGCGAGCACCUAAUACUUGUAUUGUGAUACCAAAGCUAAAACAGAUGAUAGCUUAGCGUAUAGCGCCCUACCGCUUUCCACACACACAUAAACAAAACUUGACUUUGGGCAUUAGCACCAUGGCAGGAUAAACAGGCAGUUUGGCUGUUUUUCACUGCUUUCAUUGGCAGGUGUUAAUGCUCAUUCCCGUUUCAUGUGAUGUUAGAACAGCCCUUCACCAUAGUCCUGUUUUCUCCUUCGCUGUUUUCCAUAGACAUCAGAUGCGACAUGCACCCCAACGAUCGGUCAGGCGCAUCACCGUCAAUCCGGUCGCCUGUCAAUCAGUUCGUAAUCACCGUCAGUCUUCGACAUCGGCCAACACACUUAUCCACAUUAUCGCCUUACUUUUGAUCUUAUCAAUAUGCAAGAAUGAGUGCAAAAUGCAUUGCAAUAUUGUAUCAGUUGAUGUUGUAUCGCAAUGACAACGUAUCCUCACCUCACAUUUGUUGUGCAUACUUGAUCACGAAUGCUAGUUGUUAUACACAGAUUCACAUGGUGAAGUUUUACUCCGUUGGCGUUUUCUUUCCAUUCUUGUAGUCGAUCAAGAGCGAUUGCAGUUGUACAUGCGGCCUUACACAUGCGUCCCUUCAUGUUAGCUGAUUGAUAUGUUGGACACAUUCCUGUGAUUCCUGAGUGUGGUUCCUGUGACUCCAAGUAGUUCUGCAUUGGUAUUGCUUCACUUAUGUUGUACCCAAACAUCGUUUCUAGUUUUGUCUUAGCUUGCAGCUGUAUGCCAUGAACACACAGGGUACUGCGCAUCUUUAUCGUGACAUUACUGUAGUUUUGUCGCCUUCGCGGAUGAUUAGGACCAUGAGCUCAGUUGCAGAUGCGUCCAGCAGCCACCGACAUUCUACAUUUAGUCCUAUUAUCGGUUCUUAUCCACAUACCAACAUGAUUUGAACAUUUCACACGUUUAGUGAUGAAAUGAACAGGUAUCAUCUACUACAUUAUAUUUUCAUGUAAAGCACACUACAGUCUGUGAAAAAAGAAAACUAUUUGGAGCAACAAUCAUGCCUUAGACAGUAUAGUUGCCAUAGAUAUUACGUUGUGCAGCGG